GCCUGGGUAGCUCAGUUGGUAGAGCUUCAGGUGCUUAAUCUGAGGAUCCAGAGUUCAAGCCUCUGUCUGGGCA